rnacentral:tRNA from 1 species
ACCUGGCUGGCUCAGUCCAUAGAGCAUGUGACUCUAAAUCUCAGGGUUCUGAGUUUGAGGCUCAUGGCAGGUG